rnacentral:rRNA from 1 species
UUUCUGCAAGGUGCUGCAUGGUUGUCGUCAGCUCGUGCCGUGAGGUGUCGGGUUAAGUCCCAUAACGAGCGCAACCCUUAUCGUUAGUUGCCAUCUGGUAAUGCAGGGGACUCUAGCGAAACUGCCACCGUAAGGUGAGAGGAAGGUGGGAUGACGUCAAAUCAGCACGGCCCUUAUGUCCAGGGCUACACACGUGUUACAAUGGCCGGCACAGAGGGCAGCUACCUGGUGACAGGAUGCUAAUCUCGAAAACCGGUCUCAGUUCGGAUCGAAGUCUGCAACUCGACUUCGUGAAGCUGGAUUCGCUAGUAAUCGCGCAUCAGCCAUGGCGCGGUGAAUACGUUCCCGGGCCUU